rnacentral:rRNA from 1 species
UACGAAGGGUGCAAGCGUUACUCGGAAUUACUGGGCGUAAAGCGUGCGUAGGUGGUGAGUUAAGUCUGUCGUGAAAUCCCCGGGCUCAACCUGGGAACUGCAUUUGUGACUGCACGGCUAGAGUGUGUCAGAGGGGGGUAGAAUUCCACGUGUAGCAGUGAAAUGCGUAGAGAUGUGGAGGAAUACCGAUGGCGAAGGCAGCCCCCUGGGAUAACACUGACGCUCAUGCACGAAAGCGUGGGGAGCAAACAGG